GACGAACGCUGGCGGCGUGCCUAAUACAUGCAAGUCGAGCGGGGAUUAUGCUUGAUCGCUUCGGUGAGACGGCAUAUAUCCUAGCGGCGGACGGGUGAGUAACGCGUGGGUAAUCUACCUCGUAGUUCGGGAUAACAGGCCGAAAGGCUUGCUAAUACCGGAUGAGUUCAUGCUUAUGCAUAUAGGCAUGAAGAAAGGGCUAGCCCGCUAUGAGAUGAGCCCGCGUCCCAUUAGCUUGUUGGUGGGGUAAUGGCCUACCAAGGCAACGAUGGGUAGCCGGCCUGAGAGGGUGUACGGCCACACUGGGACUGAGACACGGCCCAGACUCCUACGGGGGGCAGCAGUAGGGAAUUUUCGGCAAUGGGCGAAAGCCUGACCGAGCGACGCCGCGUGAGGGACGAAGGCCUUCGGGUUGUAAACCUCUGUCUGGGGGGAUGAGAACGGACGGUACCCCCGGAGGAAGCCCCGGCUAACUACGUGCCAGCAGCCCGCGGUAAUACGUAGGGGGCUAGCCGUUGUCCGGAAUUACUGGGCGUAAAGGGCGUGUAGGCGGUCGUGCCAGUCGGUUG
rnacentral:rRNA from 1 species